GCGGGUGUAGCUCAGCGGUAGAGCGCGACCUUCCCAUGGUCGAUGUCGAGAGUUCGAUCCUCUUCACCCGCU
rnacentral:tRNA from 1 species